rnacentral:rRNA from 1 species
CCUUUUGGUUCGGAACAACACAGGGAAACUUGUGCUAAUACCGGAUAAGCCCUUACAGGGAAAGAUUUAUCGCCGAAAGAUCGGCCCGCGUCUGAUUAGCUAGUUGGUAGGGUAAUGGCCUACCAAGGCGACGAUCAGUAGCUGGUCUGAGAGGAUGAUCAGCCACAUUGGGACUGAGACACGGCCCAAACUCCUACGGGAGGCAGCAGUGGGGAAUAUUGGACAAUGGGGGGCAACCCUGUAUCCAGCCAUGCCGCGGUGAGUGAUGAAGGCCCUAGGGUUGUAAAGCUCUUUUGUGCGGGAAGAUAAUGACGGUACCGCAAGAAUAAGCCCCGGCUAACUUCGUGCCAGCAGCCGCGGUAAUACGAAGGGGGCUAGCGUUGCUCGGAAUCACUGGGCGUAAAGGGUGCGUAGGCGGGUCUUUAAGUCAGGGGUGAAAUCCUGGAGCUCAACUCCAGAACUGCCUUUGAUACUGAAGAUCUUGAGUUCGGGAGAGGUGAGUGGAACUGCGAGUGUAGAGGUGAAAUUCGUAGAUAUUCGCAAGAACACCAGUGGCGAAGGCGGCUCACUGGCCCGAUACUGACGCU